UACGUAGGGUGCGAGCGUUAAUCGGAAUUACUGGGCGUAAAGCGUGCGCAGGCGGUUCGCCAAGUCAGGUGUGAAAUCCCCGGGCUUAACCUGGGAAUUGCGCUUGAAACUAGCGGGCUUGAGUGUGGCAGAGGGGGGUGGAAUUCCACGUGUAGCAGUGAAAUGCGUAGAGAUGUGGAGGAACACCGAUGGCGAAGGCAGCCCCCUGGGUCAAUACUGACGCUCAUGCACGAAAGCGUGGGGAGCAAACAGG
rnacentral:rRNA from 1 species